rnacentral:lncRNA from 1 species
AACAUCAACACAGGAAGCAGAAAGGGUCCUCUCCCCAUGGCCACCGCAGCUAGGAAUAUGCGGAGUCACACUUGAAGCCAGCACAGCACUGGGUCACACCCAAGGCUUGCAGUGAGUACUGCCUAAGUAUCGUUGAUGUUUAUUUGAGGGCCAAGAACUCUUUAGUCAGCAGGUCAUCCUGCCAGAACUGGGUAUAUCCUUUCAAGGCAGUGGGUUCCCUUCUGGCCAGG